rnacentral:tRNA from 1 species
GCCCUUGUAGCUCAAUUGGUAGAGCAGUUCCCUUUUAAGGAAUUGGUUUCGAGUUCGAGUCUCGACAAGGGCA